UGAGGAAUAUUGGUCAAUGGGCGAGAGCCUGAACCAGCCAAAUCGCGUGAAGGAAGACUGCCUUAUGGGUUGUAAACCUCUUUUAUACAGGAAUAAAAAAGGGGACGUGUCCCUUAUUGCAUGUACUGUAUGAAUAAGCAUCGGCUAACUCCGUGCCAGCAGCCGCGGUAAUACGGAGGAUGCGAGCGUUAUCCGGAUUUAUUGGGUUUAAAGGGUGCGCAGGCGGGCUUUUAAGUUCAGCGGUGAAAUCUCGGGGCUUAACUCCGAAACUGCCGUUGAAACUGGGAGUCUUGAGUAUGGAUGAAGUAGGCGGAAUUCGUUGUGUAGCGGUGACAUGCUUAGAUAUAACGAGGAACUCCGAUUGCGUAGGCAGCUUACUAAGCCAUAACUGACGCUCAAGCACGAAAGCGUGGGGAUCAAAACAGGAUUAGAUACCCUGGUAGUCCACGCCGUAAACGAUGAUUGACCUAGUUGUAUGCGAUAUACCGUAUGUGACUAAGCGAAAGCGAUAAGUAAUCCACCUGGGGAGUACGCCGGCAACGGUGAAA
rnacentral:rRNA from 1 species